AGAAAAUUGAGAAUAAUAAUCUUUUUAAAGUCUUUCUAAAUCUGAUAAUAGCCGACUUACUCGUCACAGCAUUCCCAAUGGCAGGCCAGUGUUUAUGGGAGGCCACAGGCUGGAUCGGAGGAAACGCGUACUGCAAAUUUCUCAAGUUCAUGCAAACCUUCUCGCUGACCUUGUCUAACUAUAUGCUGGUCACCAUUGCUAUUGAAAGACAUAGAGCAGUUACUAACCCUCUACAACACUUAGGGGCUUCUUACAGAAUGCUGAUUAUAACAUGGUCUUUUUCUGCUCUUAC